GUGUGGGAGUGUACAUCCCAUCUCAUCAUACACCGGAAGUGUGUCAUUUUGAUUUUACAAAGGCUCGUCCUGAAGUUUGCUCUGAGUCUAAGAGGGCACUUGAAACUCGGGCUCCUAAGCCAUGACGGAACUUUAAGUGCAUGGAGACUCUUGAAGACAAGACGGAAUGCACUUUGCAUUGUGAGAUGGACACAGGCUGGGAGACCAUGAGUAGAAUGUUAUGGGUUCAAUAUGGUGUCUCCCUCAAAGGUUCAUAUGUUGAAGGUUGGGGGUCCAGCCAGUGGCACUAUUGAGAGAACCUUCUUAUUCUUUCCUCUGCUUCCUGGCUACCGAGAGGUAAGCAGCUCUGUUCCACCACAAACUCCCACAAUGAUGCUCUGACUACCACAGGCCCAAGGCAAUGGAGAUGGACUACAGACUUGGAAACUGUGAGCCCAAAGCAACCCUUCUUCCUCUAAAUUGUUUCCUCGGAUACUUUGUCAUAGCAACAGAUGGUGACUGACUCUCCUGUAAGUCAGUUCCUUGAGA